AGAGUUUGAUCAUGGCUCAGAUUGAACGCUGGCGGCAGGCCUAACACAUGCAAGUCGAGCGGUAGCACAGGGAGCUUGCUCCUGGGUGACGAGCGGCGGACGGGUGAGUAAUGUCUGGGAAACUGCCUGAUGGAGGGGGAUAACUACUGGAAACGGUAGCUAAUACCGCAUAACGUCGCAAGACCAAAGAGGGGGACCUUCGGGCCUCUUGCCAUCAGAUGUGCCCAGAUGGGAUUAGCUAGUAGGUGAGGUAAUGGCUCACCUAGGCGACGAUCCCUAGCUGGUCUGAGAGGAUGACCAGCCACACUGGAACUGAGACACGGUCCAGACUCCUACGGGAGGCAGCAGUGGGGAAUAUUGCACAAUGGGCGCAAGCCUGAUGCAGCCAUGCCGCGUGUAUGAAGAAGGCCUUCGGGUUGUAAAGUACUUUCAGCGAGGAGGAAGGCAUUGUGGUUAAUAACCGCAGUGAUUGACGUUACUCGCAGAAGAAGCACCGGCUAACUCCGUGCAGCAUCCGCGGUAAUACGGAGGGUGCAAGCGUUAAUCGGAAUUACUGGGCGUAAAGCGCACGCAGGCGGUCUGUCAAGUCGGAUGUGAAAUCCCCGGGCUCAACCUGGGAACUGCAUUCGAAACUGGCAGGCUAGAGUCUUGUAGAGGGGGGUAGAAUUCCAGGUGUAGCGGUGAAAUGCGUAGAGAUCUGGAGGAAUACCGGUGGCGAAGGCGGCCCCCUGGACAAAGACUGACGCUCAGGUGCGAAAGCGUGGGGAGCAAACAGGAUUAGAUACCCUGGUAGUCCACGCCGUAAACGAUGUCGACUUGGAGGUUGUUCCCUUGAGGAGUGGCUUCCGGAGCUA
rnacentral:rRNA from 1 species